GGCUCUAUAGCUCAGCUGGCAGAGCGCAGGUCUUGUAAACCUGAGGCCCCGAGUUCGAUUCUCGGUGGAGCCA
rfam:Polysphondylium pallidum PN500 unplaced genomic scaffold PPL_contig12, whole genome shotgun sequence.